rnacentral:rRNA from 1 species
UCUAGCGAGUUCUUAGCGGCCCGUACCCCAAACCGACACAGGUGGUCAGGUAGAGAAUACCAAGGCGACGGGCGAACUGUGGUUAAGGAACUCGGCAAAUUACCCCCGUAACUUCGGGAGAAGGGGGGCCGGACACGUGAAGCAACACGCUUGUGGAGCGUGGUAUGGCCGCAGAGACCAGGGGGAAGCGACUGUUUACUAAAAACACAGGUCCAUGCGAAGAAGUAAUUCGAUGUAUAUGGACUGACGCCUGCCCGGUGCUGGAACGUUAAGGGGACCUGUUAGCUCGGGGCGAAGCGGAGAACUUAAGCGCCAGUAAACGGCGGUGGUAACUAUAACCAUCCUAAGGUAGCGAAAUUCCUUGUCGGGUAAGUUCCGACCUGCACGAAUGGCGUAACGACUUCCCUACUGUCUCAACCACAGGCCCGGCGAAAUUGCAUUACGAGUAAAGAUGCUCGUUACGCGCGGCAGGACGGAAAGACCCCGGGACCUUUACUAUAGCUUGACAUUGGUAUCUGAGUUAAUUUGUGUAGGAUAGGUGGGAGCCGGUGAAGCUCGUACGCCAGUACGGGUGGAGGCAAUCUUGAAAUACCACUCUGGUUGAUUCGGGUAUCUAACUUCGGACCGUGAUCCGGUUCAGGGACAGUGUCUGGUGGGUAGUUUAACUGGGGCGGUUGCCUCCUAAAGAGUAACGGAGGCGCCCAAAGGUUCCCUCAGCCUGGUUGGCAAUCAGGUGUUGAGUGUAAGUGCACAAGGGAGCUUGACUGUGAGACUGACAGGUCGAGCAGGGACGAAAGUCGGGACUAGUGAUCCGGCACCGGCAUGUGGAAGCGGUGUCGCUCAACGGAUAAAAGGUACCCCGGGGAUAACAGGCUGAUCUUCCCCAAGAGUCCAUAUCGACGGGAUGGUUUGGCACCUCGAUGUCGGCUCGUCGCAUCCUGGGGCUGUAGCAGGUCCCAAGGGUUGGGCUGUUCGCCCAUUAAAGCGGUACGCGAGCUGGGUUUAGAACUUCGUGAGACAGUUCGGUCCCUAUCCGCCGUGCGCGUAGGAUACUUGAGAAGGGCUGUCCCUACUACGAGAGGACCGGGACGGACGAACCUCUGGUGUGCCAGUUGUCCCGCCAGGGGCACGGCUGGUUAGCUACGUUCGGAAGGGAUAACCGCUGAAAGCAUCUAAGCGGGAAGCUCGCUUCAAGAUGAGGUAUCCCACCCACACUUGUGUGGGGUAAGGCCCCCAGCUAGACCACUGGGUUGAUAGGCCGGAAAUGUAAGCCCGGUAACGGGUUCAGUUGACCGGUACUAAUAGGCCGAGGACUUGACCUA